rnacentral:rRNA from 1 species
GUGUCAGCCGCCGCGGUAAGACGGAGGGGGCUAGCGUUGUUCGGAAUUACUGGGCGUAAAGGGGGCGUAGGCGGCCCGGCAAGUCAAGUGUGAAAUCCGGCGGCUCAACCGCUGGGCUGCGCUUGAAACUGCCGGGCUUGAGUGCAGCAGAGGGAGACGGAAUUGCCGGUGUAGGGGUGAAAUCCGUAGAUAUCGGCAAGAACGCCGGUGGGGAAGCCGGUCUCCUGGGCUGUUACUGACGCUGAGGCCCGAAAGCUGGGGGAGCGAACCGGAUUAGAUACCCGGGUAGUCCCAGCCGUAAACGAUGCUCACUAGGUGUGGGGGAGAUAAAUCCUCCGUGCUGAAGCUAACGCGCUAAGUGAGCCGCCUGGGGAGUAUGCCCGCAAGGGUGAAACUUAAAUGAAUUGACGGGG